AUGGAUCGACGUGCGUCGGUGUCGAUGCUAACCGCAAUUUUCCGAUCGGUUUUGCUGGAUCUGGUUCCUCCAGCGAUCCCUGUUCAGGAAUAAUCUACGGUGCCAUGCUGCUGUUGGCUGUUGUCUUCAUAAUUACUAGAACGGUCGUUGGUGGACCGAUGGGCACGUCUUCUGAAUACUACACGACUCCAGCAUCCUACUGCACAACGACGUGUACAGCCCCAAGCUGCUAAAUCGAGUCCCUGAAAUACUAAAUACGAGUCCCCAAAUACUAAUCGUCCCCAAGUUACUACACAGAGGCACUGGUGUACUAAACUACGACAUACGCUACACCAAGUUAUUCCAGCGAAGGCCCGAAGUACUAUAUUGUAAAGCAUUCUCCCUCUCGGGUGGAUGACUUUACGGAUUAAGACAAAUAUAUGAAUACGGAACUCGGAGACGUUUACCCACAAUGAUGACAGUGUAUUAUUAGACUAGGGCCAUAAGAAUUACACGGGAAAGAACAUACAAUAUAACAAGAAAGGGGAUAACGAGCCAAACCAUAAUUA